UUUUACACAUAGGAAAAAGAACCACCAUUAAAACUUCAUCAAACUCCAUAACCCUCUCUGAUAUGAACCCUUCCACACUUCACUUUCAAUCUUGCCAUGAAUCAUUCAUCACUCACCAUCAAAUCAUACUCUUCUCUCUCCAUACAUACAAACCGCGAAUCACCACUUCACCCAUGCCGACAAAAUUAAAAAUUACCCUUCCAUCAUCGAAACAAU
rnacentral:lncRNA from 1 species